UACAGAGGUCUCAAGCGUUGUUCGGAUUCAUUGGGCGUAAAGGGUGCGUAGGCGGCGCGGUAAGUCGGGUGUGAAAUCUCGGGGCUUAACUCCGAAACUGCAUUCGAUACUGCCGUGCUUGAGGACUGGAGAGGAGACUGGAAUUUACGGUGUAGCGGUGAAAUGCGUAGAUAUCUGGAGGAACACCGGUGGCGAAGGCGGCAUCCUGGACCAUUACUGACGCUGAGGCGCGAAAGCUAGGGGAGCAAACGGG
rnacentral:rRNA from 1 species